rnacentral:lncRNA from 1 species
UGGACAGUUCAUGGUUUGACAUGAAGCAACAAUUUAUAUUUUAGAACAUAAAAUAUUCCAGGGAUUUCCAGAACACUGCUACACAAUACCAUAUCUAUAUUGUUGUCUGAAGGAACAAGAGGCCAGAGCAUUGCUGAAGUGAAGCAAAUCUUAGUCUGACGUGUUGGCACCAUGGAUUCCAUGAUGAAAGGAACAUGAGACUUCCCUCAACAAAAGCGAGGAAAAGGAUACACACCAAUCACAAACAAAAAGGUCCUUCAGUUCCAGCUCCUCUCCUUUUCUCCGCAUGAAUUGAGGACCAGUUAAUGAAAGAAAAUNCACUUCAUUGUCGUGCUUCUAACCACUGACAGUGAACUGUUA